rnacentral:lncRNA from 1 species
GCGAGAGUCAAAGACCUUCAUCCUCCUUGCUGCUCUUUGUCUUCUCCACCAGGCCUCCUCAGUGGGUCCUUCUGGUGGCCCCGGGCCAGCAAGAGCAGGGACAGAGAGAGGCUUCUGAGCCGACCUGGCCUCGGACGACCUUGGCAUCCCACCUGCAGAGUUCCUGUCAGAGCAGACGUGCUGUCUCGUGACUGGAGGACUAAACCACCCCUGUGUUCAGUCACCUUCCAGGCCUCCUGUCCCACGAAGUCUGCUUCUCACCAGGCUCCACAGGAAAUCUUGUCUUACAGCGCUGGAAAGAAGCUCCAGGAGUGUGCUGGAAAUGCUUCCCUCAGUUCUUCCGGUUAGCUGUGGGGGUAAACAUCUGCCCACGAGAAGACUGGAGAUCUGAAGCCUCCCAGGUUGCCUUAGGUGGGAGAUUAAUCUCCAGGAACAAGACCCCAGUAAAUAACAUGAGGUGGUGGGAUUCAGCUUUGCACCCAGCAUCAACACUCUUACAUCCCCAACAGCACAGAAGAUCACAUUUUCUUAAAAGUUAUACAACCACACACUUGAAGGAAGGAAGCUUGGAACGUGCCACCUGCAUGGCUGGUGUGUGCUGAGAUGGAAUUCUGACUGAAGCUGCAAAGCCUGGGGCCGGUCUGGCUUCUUGCUGGCCUGCCUGGCAUCAGGACUUCUGCUUGGCUGGAGGUGGUCACAGGCAGGGCAGGGAAGAUGGGCUCAGAAGCUUGGGAACCACGUGGUCACAUGUGCCCGCUGGAGGUUUGGAACAUUCCUCUGCAGUGAAGAAGACACUCGUGGCUCUCAGCAGUCUCUCUGCUCUCUCUCUAGGCCAGCAGUUAGAAGGUCUUAGUAUGGUGGGGACAUUGCUUUGAGUUCAUCACAGCACUCAUCCAAGUUCUCCCUGGUCCUCUGUGGGGGACACAUGCUGACGAGGCUACUCAGACUCCUGUUCCCAAAGCUGCCCAACCCGGCCCCCUCAUCAGUCCCCGGCGGACAGGCCUCUGCGGAUUUUACCAGCAGUGAGCACCUGCCCAUAGCUGGCCCAUUCCUCGUCUCUUUCCUGGGAACUCGGUACUGAAAUUCAGAUGCAGAGAGGUCAUGUCUGCUCGUGGUUGACGGAUCCCAAAGAAGGCUACACUCCCUUAUAUGUAAUUCAGAAAUUCAAAAAGCUCUGAAAACUCUAAGUGUUCUCUUCCAUUUGUGGCAAACACAUUUGGCAGCAAAACCAGCCUGGACUGAUGUGAGCUCUAGGUAGUGUCAGUAUCCCCCUUAAUGAGGUCACCUGGUGGACAGACCCACGUGACUGACUAUGGGGUGCUCUCCUGGAGCCCACUAGCAAUACAAAUAUUUGGUUGAUGCACUGUCAUUACCUUUUGAACACAUAAAAUGCUCUGAAGCUUGAACUGUAUGUGGCCCAAAAGGAUCUGGGUAAAGGAUGUGGAUUUACAUAAGAGGUGCCGUGGGCUACCCUACCAGCUUCCACACGGACAAGUUCUGAGAAAGCCAGUCUGCAGUGGGUGCACGGGGUUGUGACUACCAAAUGCAAGCUUCGGAGACCACAGAGCUAAGGUCCUGACAUCUUCAGCUUUGCAACAGCUUCCCUCCUUUUCAUUAAGCGGCCCCAGCUGGCUUGGCGGAGCUGUCGUCAGAGAGUCCUAACCAUCACGCCCCUCAUCCCCACGGAGGCUCAGACCUGGGGGGUUCUGCCGUGCCAGGCAGGAGGCGCUGGGAACGCACAGCCACGUCCAGACGCAGCCUUUGCCAAGCUCUCCGACACUUCAGUGGGCCCAUGGCCUGCUGGCCUGGGCAAGGAGGACUGAACUCUUGAAGGUUUCCACUUCAAUGAGAUUCCAUGAGAAAAGCAGAAAUGGGGUGGGUUUGGCAGUGGGCCAUCUCAAUGGGUUUCUGUCUAAAGGCUUUUCCAUUUAGAAAUAUUUUCUAAGGAGGAUCUUUGUCUUCUUUUGGAGGUGGGAUGGAUUUGUGGUCCUGAAUCCUCCCUUGGAAAAUCUACCUCUGCAAGAAUUCUUUCUUCUUUUUUUUUUUUUUUUUAAAAAAAGGAAGAGGAAAAAAAAGAACAAAAAUACAGCUUCCCUUCUUUUGAACUGUGCGUCACUCGCCAAAGAAUUCCGCAGCGAUAGCACUGCUAUGAAUAGGGCAGUCAUAAUGGGCUUCAGAAGAGCCCGGAGCCCAACCACAGGAAACGUUCCUAUCACGGCUCAGCUAGAACUGUGCCUCUUAUAAAUGGAGUUUUCAGAGGAACACUUAUAAUCCGUAUUCCCCUCCUGCCUUCUAAAUUGGCCAUCUAUUAUUUUGUUUUUACCCUUGAUGAAGUGCUCCUUUUAAAAAUGCUGGCUUCUGUUGGUAUUUGAGAGAAAUGAAACUGCAGAUGCAAGAAGUCAGGGCGAUUCUACCCCAGAGCAGGACGUGUCGAGCUACCUGUGCAAAGCCCCGAGCGUGGGGUCUCUCCUUCAAACGCGAGAUACUUACUGCCUGGUAGCUGUCCUCAUCAAACAGGGCUGCUCUUUUCAGAUCAAAGGCGGUGGCACUCUAGUGACAAUAACUUAGGACUUAGGCAGAGAGAAACAGAAAGGAAGUGGGUGAAAGGUCACAUUCCCAAUCCAAGUGGCCCCCCAGAGAGCCACACCGCAAGGCUUCCUGGGUGGAGGAUCUGGGCAGACUCAAGUCCCAACCACUGUGGUGAUAAGGCAACGAAACAGUCCAGCCAUCCAAAAGCGGUCAGAAGGAAAACAGAAGUUUAAUCUGGACUUGGAGAAAUCUGUGGAAACACAGACAUUUCAGUGGGAUUUCUGUGCUGAAUAAAUAAGACGGGAGCAUUGAAAACUGAAGCAGGCAACCAAGGAAAGAACAACUUGGGGCACAAAGUUGAGUUGAAAUUUGAAGAGCGUGAGUCUGUCCCAGACCUGACCUCUUCUUGCUCCUGCAAAGUGGGAGUGGGCAGUAAAGAGGUCUAAAAGUAUCUUUAUCUGGCAUGCCGGGGAAAGCUGAAGGUUCGGAUUCAAGGCUGCUUCUCAUGAGAACCAAAUGGCAGCUCUCUCGCUUCCAAUUAGGGGUCUGCGUGUGCCUGACACAGCGGGAAGCCUCCUGCCACCUCCUGCAUCCGACUCACAGCCAGGCGGAGGGAGGCAAAGGCCGGUGUGCAACUGCACGGCUCCAGCCGCACACGUUCCUUCUAGGAGGGCAGGUCUCCCCUCUCCCUCAACUGCAGGGAAAAUUCAGGGUGCAAAGGCCGUGUUUCUCUUGAAUUCUGCUGGCGAGCUGAUGGCGCAGCUACAUUACACGGUCCCCAAAGGUGGUGUUCUUUUUAAAAAAGGACAAUGAUGGGGCUCCCCAAUACUUUCAAAUGAGUCCUCAUCUGAGUGGGCUGGUGUUAUCUGCUACAAUUUAGAGCAUCACAUGUUGCUCUACGAGUCAGCUCAAAGAGGAUGGGUCAGGCUGUUAGACUAAAAGCUGCAGAUCUGAGGCUGCUAUUCCAGAGAUGCCCGGGCCCACCUUCACACAGCUACGCACACCUGAACUUGCGACAGCAGAAGGCCAAAUGCAGAUUUCAAAGGCUCUUCCCAUCACAGGGAAGAAACAUAAGACCUGGCAUCAGAACUUCAUUCUUCUGCAAAACACUUUUGAGGCUGUCUAAAAAUCAGGCCCAGUUUCCUGAGUUCUUCUUCAAGCUCCCUCACUCCACACCCAUGAAGUCAUGCGGUCUGUCUUCUUCAAGUGUUGGCAGCCAGGCAAUAGCUGCUUAUUUUCUGUGAGUCAACUGCUCUGGAAGUGAGGUCAGCUCCCGCCCUGGCCUCUUGUCAGCUGCAGGUGCUUAGAGGUGUCCUGUAACCUUAUUCCCUCUCAUCUUCUGCACAGCUUGUUUUGCGUAUUAAAUGAGACGAUGUAUGUAGAGCUAACUUGUGUCUUGUACAUGACAUACCGAUAAACGGGUUCAUAUGUCAUCAUUAUAGCACAAAGUCUUGUUUCCUAAAGAAGAACAGUUUUAGGUAAAAAAAAAAAAAAAAAAAAAAAAAACCCAACAACCCUGAAGCGGGUCCUGGGGUGUCCUCAUCUAUUAAGGACAUUAAUUAAGCAGACAUUACAAAUGUAUACAUGACACACCACCUAGAACUUCAUCAGCUACUGGAAAUGCUUGCAGUGGCCCGAUGGGGCAGAGCCUCUUGAUUCAGGAGAAAGCUCUUGGAAAGAAAAUGGGACCUGUGCUUAUUAUCAUCUUUCCUAAGUUGCAAACUAUUCUCAAAAUGUUCCCCAACAUCCUAGCCAAGGAUUAAGAGCCAAUUCAAAAUAAACCAAGAGAAGCAAUACAGGGAUCAUCCACAUUGGAAAGCCAGAGAGCAGCCGCACCAGCACACUGGGAUGCCCCUGUAAAGCUCCUUGGUCUCCUCAGCUCGUCCUGGGUCCCUCCACACAUGGCGCCAGGGGCAGGAUGCCAGCACAGCCUCCUCGCUACAAAUGGGGUUGCAGGAUGCACCUGGCCUGCUGCCUGCUUCAACAGCUGCAGUUGGAACAUCUCAGAGAGCUGGGUCAUUCAAGGUCAACCCCACAACUUACAAAGUUGGGCCGCAGCUGAGCUGGGCAGAGGACUGGAGUGUCUUGCUGGGUUGGUUUGGGAAAGGGAUGCCCCCCGGCUUCCCUAGGUGGUUUUUAUAUUCUUAGGGGAGGACAGGAGGCUGCCAUGCAAGGACAUGCCAUAUGCCUUUACCGUCAACCA